rnacentral:rRNA from 1 species
AGCAGUCGCCGCGGGAAUACGUAGGUCCCGAGCAUUGUCCGGAUUUAUUGGGCGUAAAGCGAGCGCAGGCGGUUAGAUAAGUCUGAAGUUAAAGGCUGUGGCUUAACCAUAGUACGCCUUGGAAACUGUUUAACUUGAGUGCAAGAGGGGAGAGUGGAAUUCCAUGUGUAGCGGUGAAAUGCGUAGAUAUAUGGAGGAACACCGGUGGCGAAAGCGGCUCUCUGGCUUGUAACUGACGCUGAGGCUCGAAAGCGUGGGGAGCAAACAGGAUUAGAUACCCGUGUAGUCCCUGUCUCUUAUACA